UUCUAUUGCCGAAAUGGAUUU
rnacentral:piRNA from 1 species